UGCUGAGAGGAGCGAUGAGAAGCUCCCUGAGGAGGAAGAUGAUAAGCUUCCAGAGGAGGAAGGAGGCGAGAAACUUCCGGAGGAGAUCCCCACAGGUAAGAUUGUAAUGCCUCUUCUCCAAUUUUAUUUUUCUCUUGUUUUACUGGUUUUUUCCAUCCCAAACUUUUCCUUUAGAUUCCCAAAAUACAGGGAAUACUAUGGGAAGAAUUGAAGAGAUGCCACAUACAGAGGCGGCUAUUGUGGUAGAAGCGAGUACUUCCCUCAUUUCACCGGGAAGCACUCUACCACAGGAAGAGAAACUAAAGCUUUCUCGCAAGUUGUUGACAGAGGUGUUAGAGCAGGGGAGCAGCCAGCCCCGGGACGACUCAGAGCUGAUCGCUCUGAGAGAGCAAGUGAAGAAGCUCUCGUCUGAGAAAGCUGCUCUCUAGGAAAAAAAAUAAAAAACUCUCCAAAGCCAAGAGAGCUUAGUCUCUGCUUUUGUAUUGCAUUCGACUAGUUUGAUUCGUCUGAUGAGAUCGAGCAGCUCAAGAAGAUCAAGGCGGAUUCUGACCAGGAGAUGGCAACAGCUCUCCAACAGCUCAAGGACUUGUCAGAAUCCCGGGACUUGAUGCAGCGGGAGCUUGUGGAGCUAAGGGAGCUGAAAGAUGCUGCUCAAGAUAUGGCGGACAUUGUGGAGAUCCCAGAGGGGAACAAAGAUGAGCCCCUGAAUGCUUCGGAAAGUCAUGGAUAUUUGAGAGAUAUGUCUCCACAACCACCCGAUAGUACGUAGGACACGUACUCGGGUUGGUGAAGUCCUAUUGGCCACGUACUCCACUUGAUUCGCUUGGGGAGGGUGCAAAGGCUGAUUACAACGAUGAUCAAUUUGGUCAGUACCUAGAAGAAACCUCCACCAUAGGGGAUAGGAUAGUGGAGACUUUAAACAAGUCCUGAUCUCCUUGUGUCUUUGUAAGAUGACUGGCUGCUGGAGCCUCAAGUACUCGUAUGUACAAAUAUUUAAAUUUGUGUUU